GUUUUUGAGAGCCGAGAAAACUGUUCUUUUGAGCUAUUUGCAGCUUUUAAGAAUUGGGUAAACUAUACUCAGAUAAACAAAAUAUGGAACAUAUUUCUCUCUACCUGAUUUAUACAAAAUUUGAGAAGUAGUUGUGAGUAUUCUUUACUUAUGGCAAUGUAGUUAUUUACAUAAGUGCAUUAAGAAUCUGUUUUCUUUUGUAACAGGACACAAUUGGAAACACUGGUUAUUUUACCAGUGUCUUGACUUGAAUGGGGUACUUUCAGAUACAGACUCCUUUAAGGAAUUAAAGUUAACUUAUACAGCCAAUAAAAGCCCCUGGGGAAAACUGGCAUAAUACCUUGUCUAGGCAGCCCUGUACAGACUCCUGACCUAUGGUAAGUAAAGAAUGUCACUUUCUAACAAGCCCAAGAGCCCCAAGUUUUCCUGCACCCUAAAAGUGAGGAAUUCACUCAGCUAAUACAGGUAUUUGUAGGCACAGAAUGGGCUUAAGGCAUUAAAGUCAAAUCUGAGAUCCUUUAUGGAAUUAAGUUGCAACAAAGCCAAAAAAAAAAAAAAAAAAAGAAGAAGGAGCCUGUAUGGCAAAUAAUUAUUUUUUCUCACUUUAUGAAAAUACUCAGGCCAAGUAUCAUAAGACUAAAACUUAUCUUCCAAAUGAAUUUGUACUAUAAUUAGUCUUUACUGAAAAUGGGGACUGGAGAGAGAAAAAUUGUGUUUCAAAAUCAACUAUAGUACACCUGUUAUUAGCUUCUCGUCUUGCAUAAGGCUUUUCAAUUUUUAUUAUUUUCUACAGUUUGGACUAAAUUCUGAAACUUUUUGUGGUUACAAGUCCCCAGUAUAAUGUUUUCCAUUUCUUUUCCUUCUUUCUUUUACUUUUAAAUUUUUUUUCUGAUUUUAAAUCACUGAAAACUAAGCUGAGCUUUCUUAAAGCCUUGCAAACUGAAGUUAGGCAAAUUAAACUUCAGAAGAAAAUAAAAGCAACUUGUUUACAUACGUAAGCCACUCUCAUACCUGCUGAUUUUCCAGAAUUUUUAUAUUUUCAUUUGUUGUUGUUUUUCACCUUCCUCCCACUAUUUGCUCUUCACAGGAUGUGAGACUUCACAACCUUCUAAAAAUGAGUUUUCCUAACAACAUGGGACCUACCCUUCUAGGAAUAAACCAUCCUAGCCAUGAGAAAUCAGAUGAAAACUGGGACCAGAGACUCUUUUUCUUCUAAAAUGCUUUUUCUGAAAGAUUUUAAAAAGAAAAGAAGGGAAAUGUGAAAGGAAAAUAAAAUUUUAGACCCCAACACCACUAAGCUAAAGGGAAAAGUCAAGCUGGGAGCUGCUUAGGGCAAAUCUGCCUCCCAUUCUAUUAAAAGUCAUUCCUCUGCUUACUGAGAUAAAUGCACAUCUGAUUGCUUCCUUUGGAGAGGCCAAUCAGCAACUCAAAAGAAUGUAACCAUUUGUCUCUUAUCUACCUAUGACCUGGAAGACCCCUCCCCACUUUGAGUUGUCCCACCUUUCCAGAUGAA
rnacentral:lncRNA from 10 species